rnacentral:lncRNA from 1 species
AGACAUAUUCUUUCUGAAUAUUAUUAUUAAAAAAAUGCUUAUCAAUUAACUAGGGAUAGUUUUCGGCACGAAAUGAAAAAAAAAGUAUGAAAUCUUUUUGAAAGCCAAAUAUUAUACAGAAGAAAGAUAUGAUUAGCCUUACGAUUAGGUAGAAUCGAAAUUUGUUUCGAAAAAGUUGGUUUGGUUGGAUUUUCAGGUUUCGGUUUGACUUUUUUUUCCUUACAAUUAUAAUAGUGCUAGGUAGCAUGACUUAAGAGAACAUAAGAAAUAAAU